UAAGUGAUGGCGACCGGCGCACGGGUGAGUAACACGUAUCCAACCUGCCGAUAACUCGGGGAUAGCCUUCGAAAGAAAGAUUAAUACCCGAUGGUAUAAUAAAGCCGCAUGGUUUAAUUAUUAAAGAAUUUCGGUUAUCGAUGGGGAUGCGUUCCAUUAGGCAGUUGGUGAGGUAACGGCUCACCAAACCUUCGAUGGAUAGGGGUUCUGAGAGGAAGGUCCCCCACAUUGGAACUGAGACACGGUCCAA
rnacentral:rRNA from 1 species